rnacentral:rRNA from 1 species
CCUACGGGGGGCAGCAGUGAGGAAUAUUGGUCAAUGGUCGGGAGACUGACCCAGCCAAGCCGCGUGAGGGAGGAAGGUACAGAGUAUCGUAAACUUCUUUUGUCAGGGAACAAAGGCGGGGACGUGUCCCCGGAUGAGUUUACCUGAAGAAAAAGCAUCGGCUAACUCCGUGCCAGCAGCCGCGGUAAGACGGAGGAUGCGAGCGUUAUCCGGAUUUAUUGGGUUUAAAGGGCGGGUAGGCGGGCUGUUAAGUCAGGGGUGAAAGGCCGGGGCUCAACCCCAGCACGGCGGUUGAUACUGGCAGUCUCGAGUUGGAGAGAGGUAUGCGGAAUGCGAGGUGUAGCGGUGAAAUGCAUAGAUAUCGCGCAGAACUCCGAUUGCGAAGGCAGCAUGCUGGCCCCACACUGACGCUGAGGCACGAAAGCGUGGGUAUCGAACAGGAUUAGAUACCCCUGUAGUC